rnacentral:rRNA from 1 species
GGAAGGGGNNNCCUCCCCGGUGCAGCCAUCGUUUUACUACCGCGGGAAAAGGAAGCGCAGGCGGGAAGACAAGUUGGAAGUGAAAACCAUGGGCUCAACCCAUGAAUUGCUUUCAAAACUGUUUUUCUUGAGUAGUGCAGAGGUAGAUGGAAUUCCCGGUGUAGCGGUGGAAUGCGUAGAUAUCGGGAGGAACACCAGUGGCGAAGGCGGUCUACUGGGCACCAACUGACGCUGAGGCUCGAAAGCAUGGGUAGCAAACAGGAUUAGAUACCCUGGUAGUCCAUGCCGUAAACGAUGAUUACUAGGUGUUGGGGGAUUGACCCCCUCAGUGCCGCAGUUAACACAAUAAGUAAUCCACCUGGGGAGUACGACCGCAAGGUUGAAACUCAAAGGAAUUGACGGGGGCCCGCACAAGCAGUGGAGUAUGUGGUUUAAUUCGAAGCAACGCGAAGAACCUUACCAGGUCUUGACAUCCGAUGCAUAGCACAGAGAUGUGUGAAAUCCUUCGGGACAUCGAGACAGGUGGUGCAUGGUUGUCGUCAGCUCGUGUCGUGAGAUGUUGGGUUAAGUCCCGCAACGAGCGCAACCCUUAUUGCCAGUUACUACGUUAAGAGGACUCUGGCGAGACUGCCGUUGACAAAACGGAGGAAGGUGGGGAUGACGUCAAAUCAUCAUGCCCUUUAUGACCUGGGCUACACACGUACUACAAUGGCGUUAAACAAAGAGAAGCAAGACCGCGAGGUGGAGCAAAACUCAAAAACAACGUCUCAGUUCAGAUUGCAGGCUGCAACUCGCCUGCAUGAAGUCGGAAUUGCUAGUAAUCGCGGAUCAGCAUGCCGCGGUGAAUACGUUCCCGGGCCUUGUACACACCGCCCGUCACACCAUGAGAGCCGGGGGGACCCGAAGUCGAUAGUCUAACCGCAAGCAGGAAGUGGCCGAAGGUAA